AUUGAACGCUGGCGGCAGGCCUAACACAUGCAAGUCGAACGAGUGGCGGACGGGUGAGUAAUGUCUGGGAAACUGCCCGAUGGAGGGGGAUAACUACGGGAAACGGUAGCUAAUACCGCAUACCAUCGGAUGUGCCCAGAUUGGAUUAGCAUGUAGUUGGGGUAAUGGCUAACCUAGGCGACGAUCCCUAGCUGGUCCGAGAGGAUGACCAGCCACACUGGAACUGGGACACGGUCCAGACGCCUACGGGAGGCAGCAGUGGGGAAUAUUGGACAUUGGGGGCAAGCCUGAUGCAGCCAUGCCGCGUGUAUGAAGAAGGCCUUCGGGUUGUAAAGUACUUUCAGCGGGGAGGCGUUACCCGCAGAAGAAGCACCGGCUAACUCCGUGCCAGCAGCCGCGGUAAUUC
rnacentral:rRNA from 1 species